AUCCUUCCCCCACUGCCAUAAAUUCACUCCCCGCCACUCACAGCCGAUAACCCCUAUACCUCCACUUUUCAUCACAGUAAACCCUAACCCUUUCUUCCCCAUAUCCCAUCUACCCAUUAUUACCGUUAACCUUUACCCCCUUACCUCACCACUUCCAUAACCGAUAACCCUCCAUUCACCUACAACCCACCGCCCUAACUUUCUCCUCUCUACCAUCCACUACCGCCGGUACACCUUCAAUAUAUCAAACAUUAUCACCUCACCGCCGAUUUGCAGCCUCACCUAACCACCGCCGACCACCUACAUCACCCCCCUUCACCGUCAAACCCUUACCCCUCCUCCAUACCGCCGAUAACCUUUCCACACCGCCGCUCACCUCCCCUAAUCACCGAACACCCUAACCCUCCUCUCCUAAUCCGCCGCUGCUCAUCAUACAUCGCACUCCAAGCUGCCGCAACACACCUCCACUACUAUCCAUCACAGCCGUAACCCCCCCUAACCGCCUUUCCCCCACUGCCGUAGUCUUGUCACCCAUUCAUCCAUUACUCACACACAGCCUUCACAAGAUCCGAUUUCAACCCAAAUUUCACCAUAGUUCAACUUAAAAAUCGGAGUUCCAGUCGGGGAUUUCACUUUCAACCGAAAAUUUCUCUAUUCCUCUUAUUUCUCACAAAUCUCAGAAUGUCACGUGCAGGAACUUCAAGUCGGGCCAACAGGAAACGAGGCUGAGACACUCGCUCAGGAAAGGGCCCAGUGGGACACAGGCGGGUGAUGAGGUGUUGGAUGAUGCGGAGUAGAGCGAGGAUGCAGCGAGGAUGACAGCUUAUAUCUUUUGUUUAUUUUUAUCUUUAUGCUGUUUUUAAUCCUCGUCUAUUGGUUUGUACUUAAAUACAUUAAACAAGUUGGUUGGGGUUUUGGGGUUGGUUGAUACAAUUGUGGAUGGUUGUUGAACGUGAUAUUACAUAUUAUCUUUUGCUAGUG